UACAAAUAAAAAGUGAGGGCGACUUAAUCGUUUGGAGCAAGCUUAAUCGUCUUCCUCUUCGCAUCAACUUUUCCAAUGUGGUUCCUCCGAACACUUGUUUUCCUGACAUUAACAGGAUCUUAAUUGUGUGCUCCAAGAAUAAAUUAGAUUGAUUUCGAGAAAUUGGUGAUAGCGGGAAGAAGACGAUGAUGUUGGAGGGCAAGCUUCAUGGCCGUUCUCCUUCUCAUGCUCUCCAUUUUUUUUCUUCAGUUAUCUAUUCUACAAACCCACAUUAUUCCUACACAUAACUUCCAUCCGAUGAUCAAUUGCACCUUCACUGUUCAUCUCAUCCCACCUAGCGUGCUGCUUCCCUUCUUGAUCGAACGCUUCACUUGUCUCAGUAGCUUCUCCUCUUCCGUCUUUGUUUCUUGAAACCCAAACCUCUCACCCCCAAUAUCAACCCCUCUGAAGCGAACACUUGAAAUAUUCUUUCGUCUGAUCUCAGCAAAUCAAACGUCCAGAAUCUCGAAACAAAGCAGACAAAUCAAGAAUGAUGUUCUUCGUGGUUUUCCUAUAUAAUAGUGUAUUCAUCGACGUCUAUGCUUUCACCCAAAUCGACACCUUUCUCCUGCUCUGCACAGGCGAUGGCCACAGUGGACAGAGGGUUUCUUUUUUUAGUCUGAUUCCACUAUUUGUUUCCUAAAUUCACAAUCUUGAGAUCAGGGACCUGUCACAUGUUAUGGAAAAGUCAGAGAAGAAAUUUUGUUUAUAUUUACUGCUGCUGUUAUACUUUUUCAGCAAGAUGCCAAGGAGUUGGUUCACGUUAUGAGAUGUUGGCAGAAUUGUCGAGGAGAGAGGGAGAUGCAAACAUAAAACCUGAUCCGGAUAUCGAUGUCUUCAUGAAGGCUGCUGCUACUGAAGGUUAAGAAGGUAGCGUAGUCACAGAUUAUACUCUCAAGCUAUUGGGAUUUGGAACAUCUCAUCUCUUUUGAAGGACAGGGUUAGGAAGAUUGAAGGAAACCCUGAUUUCUGUUGCUUCAUCUCUCAACAAAAUACUGUAAAUCAAGGUGAAUUACCACAUAUAUUAUAUAUUAUAUACCAGGUUUGUUGUGUAUAGAUGUUUUUGUUUUGAGAGUAUUUCACUAUCUGUUUUGCUGAUGCGUUUUAUUUUGGUGGAUAACAUGCUGCAUGCUGCUCCACUUCAUUUCCCUGCUUCAUCUCAAGAAAAAACUGUAAAUCAAGGUGAACUACCACAUAUUAUAUACCAGAUAUUGUUCAAGAAUCUUGAUUUGGACAUGAAGGCAGUUACUCCUUUUCCCUGCUGGGUGCUUCCAAUGGUAAAAGAAAUAUUGUCGAGAAGAGUGUUUGAAACAACAAUGGAGCUUGACAACAAUCUGACCAUGUAUCAGGGCCUGGCCUUAUAAUAAUCUUUCAUCUCCCUUGUUGAAAUACUGAAGAUGAGUGAUGCAAGAGUAGUAUUGUUUGCUCUUCACAAUGUCAUUCACACUUUAUUCAAGGAUCUGUCAUCACAUGUUAUGGAAAAAGACAAAGAAGAAAUUUUCUACCACCAAUUAUAUUUAUAUUUAGAGUGAUGGUGGGGAUCCAGAAAUAGCAAAAUACUUUCAUUUCUUACUCCAGGUACUUCAGGAUCAAAAGAGAAGAGCCUGGGAUGAUUGCACAGCAAACAUCUUUUCCGCAUUUUGAGAUUUACAUAGAUAUGUUUUGAUGUAGUGAUAUACUUUGAUCUUUUGGGGUUGUAUGAAAAAUGUUUGGAUUAAUGUUUAUUAAAUUAAAAAUGAAAAUUUUGGGUCUUAUUUGGGAUGAUACAGAAA